UUUUUCAAAAAAAAUGAUUUUAUUACGCAUUUUCCAAAUGAUCCAGACCACUAAAUUCUAGAUCGAAAGUCGACCUAAAUGAGCUUUCUUACCCAUACCAACCCCAUACAAAACCUUAAAACCCACUAAAAUCAAGCAUGAGGGGGGAGGGUAAAGGCAUUCUCGUCCAACUAAGAAUCUUAUACCAAAUCAAAGGGACAACCUCACACUAGACAAAUGAAUGAUCC
rnacentral:lncRNA from 1 species